rnacentral:rRNA from 1 species
GACGGGCCCGCACAAGCAGCGGAGCGUGUGGUUAAUCGAUGCUACACGAAGAACCUUACCAGGGUUUGACAUACAAGUGGUAGAGAAGCGAAAUCGGACCGACCUUCGGGAGCUGUUACAGGUGUUGCAUGGCUGUCGUCAGCUCGUGUCGUGAGAUGUUCGGUUAAGUCCGCUAACGAGCGCAACCCGCGUUGUGUGUUAUAUGUGUCACACAAUACCGCCGGUAUUAAGCCGGAGGAAGGUGCGGAUGACGUCAAGUCAGCAUGACCUUUAUAUCCAGGGCUACACACACGCUACAAUGGACAGUACAACAGGUUGCCAAGCCGCGAGGCGGAGCCAAUCCUCUAAAGCUGUCCUCAGUUCAGAUUGCAGGCAGCAACUCGCCUGCAUGAAGUUGGAGUUGCUAGUAACCGCAGGUCAGCUAUACUGCGGUGAAUACGUUCCCGGGGAUU